UACUCCUACGGGAGGCAGCAGUGGGGAAUAUUGGGCAAUGGGCGAAAGCCUGACCCAGCAAUGCCGCGUGAAGGAAGAAGGCCUUCGGGUUGUAAACUUCUUUUACCGAGGACGAAGAAAUGACGGUACUCGGCGAAUAAGCUCCGGCUAACUACGUGCCAGCAGCCGCGGUA
rnacentral:rRNA from 1 species